ACCUGUCCUGGCCCAAACCUGAAAAUGGUCCUGAAGUCACAAUGUCUCCAGAAUCUAGGAGCGCCUCUCUGAAGUGCUUGGCAUGAAAAUCCUUACAAGAUGCCAGCACCAUGCUCUUGGAGUUCCCGACUUCCAGAACUGUGGACCAAAUAAAACACUAUUGUUUAUAAA